CAGGAGUUUGAGACCAGCCUGCCUAACAUGGUGAAACUCAUCUCUACUAAAAAUACAAAAAUUAGCUGGGCGAGUGCCUGUAAUUCCAGCUACUUGGGAGGUUGAGCAGGAGAAUGCUUGAACCCAGAAGGUGGAGGUUGCAGUGAGCCAAGAUCGCACCACUGCACUCUAGCCUGGGCAACAGAGCGAGACCCCAUCUCAAAAAAAAAAAAAAAAAAGGGAAGCCACAGGAACUCCCAUUCACUGUUGAUGUGAAUGGAAUAUUCUACAGUCACUCUGUAAGACAGUCUGGUGAGCUCUGAAGAUAAGCAUGGUCUUACCACAUGAUUCAUCAGUAACCCUACUACAUAUUGACCCCAAUGAAUUGAAAGCUCAUGUCCCCAGAAAAGUCCUCACAAAGACGUUUUCAGCAGCCUUAUCCAUAUUUCCCAAAAACUAAAGUCAGACAAGAUGAGCAAAUUUUUUUUUCCCCAAGACAUGGGGGAUCUCACUGUAUCUACCAG
rnacentral:lncRNA from 1 species